UACGUAGGGUGCGAGCGUUAAUCGGAAUUACUGGGCGUAAAGCGUGCGCAGGCGGUGAUGUAAGACCGAUGUGAAAUCCCCGGGCUUAACCUGGGAACUGCAUUGGUGACUGCAUUGCUGGAGUAUGGCAGAGGGGGGUGGAAUUCCACGUGUAGCAGUGAAAUGCGUAGAGAUCGGGAGGAACACCAGAGGCGAAGGCGGCGACCUGGACAGGCACUGACACUCAACUACGAAAGCGUGGGGAGCAAACGGG
rnacentral:rRNA from 1 species